GGGCCUAUAGUUCAAUGGAUAGAAUAAUCGGCUUCGGACCGGUUGAUGGGGGUUCGAAUCCUUCUAGGCCCA
rnacentral:tRNA from 1 species